rnacentral:rRNA from 1 species
UAGAGUUUGAUCCUGGCUCAGGACGAACGCUGGCGGCGUGCUUAACACAUGCAAGUCGAACGGGGUGCCUAUGAAAGAGAUUUCGGUCAAUGGAUUAGGUUACUUAGUGGCGGACGGGUGAGUAACGCGUGAGGAACCUGCCUUUCAGAGGGGGACAACAGCUGGAAACGGCUGCUAAUACCGCAUGGCACAUAUUUAUCGCAUGGUAGAUAUGUCAAAGAUUUAUCGCUGAGAGAUGGCCUCGCGUCUGAUUAGCUAGUUGGUAGGGUAACGGCCUACCAAGGCGACGAUCAGUAGCCGGACUGAGAGGUUGGCCGGCCACAUUGGGACUGAGAUACGGCCCAGACUCCUACGGGAGGCAGCAGUGGGGAAUAUUGGGCAAUGGGCGCAAGCCUGGCCCAGCAACGCCGCGUGAAGGAAGAAGGCUUUCGGGUUGUAAACUUCUUUUAAGAGGGAAGAGCAGAAGACGGUACCUCUUGAAUAAGCCACGGCUAACUACGUG